GAAAGGCGAGUCAGAACCACUAGACCAUGGCGUGCACACACAAACUCACACAAACUUAUCCCAUGACAAACUCAGAGCAGACACAAUAUACAUGAAAAAAUAGAGUAAUAUUUAUUCUAAAAUUCAUUCCCAUGUGUAUAAAAGUUCCACAAUAAUUACAUUCAGUAUUCACAAGUCAUUAUUAUUGGAACAUUUGUAUUUACAAUCAAAGCUGCUUUAGAGAUCAUCUGUCUACAAUAUCUUAUUGACUCUAUAAGAUUGAAAUUCAAAUUCAACUUCAUUACUACAAUUUAAAAAUAUAUAAAUAUACAAAAUAAUUUACAUUAAAUAGGGAUUAUACUUGUGGAGGGGUCACAUUGAGCAUAAUUGCUUCUGUAAAUUGAAUCCAUAAUAAAUAUCAAAUCAAUACGUGUAAAAAAUUUACACCAAAGGUAACAAUAUGAACAUACAAACUGAAAGACGACAUAUUUUUAUCAUUUGUAUUUUAUGGUUUAUUAUUGAGCUACACAGCUGAAACCCCUGCUGGUGAUAUACUUAUUUCUUUUAUUCUUUUUUACUAUAUCCCUUUCUCCAUUUUGGUUUACUAGUGCUUGAAAAAAUACAGGGGAGCUACCCUUUGAAGCACCGUCCUUGAUAAUAAGUGUGUAUCCUUGAAUAUCAUUGAAACAUGUAUUACAAGACCCUGUUCAUAUAAAGACUAUCCCAUUACAAAGACUACUUCUCUAUAUUGUUUGAUAUCUAUAUACAGGUUUUACUGUACCAUGAUACUGUAUAUCAUUGAAACAUGUAUUACAAGACCCUGUUCAUAUAAAGACUAUCCCAUUACAAAGACUACUUCUCUCUAUUGUUUGAUAUCUAUAUACAGGUUUUACUGUACCAUGAUACUGUAUAUCAUUGAAACAUGUAUUACAAGACCCUGUUCAUAUAAAGACUAUCCUAUCAUAAAGACUACUUCUCUCUAUUGUUUGAUAUCUAUAUACAGGUUUUACUGUACCAUGAUACUGUAUAUCAUUGAAACAUGUAUUACAAGACCCUGUUCAUAUAAAGACUAUCCCAUUACAAAGACUACUUCUCUCUAUUGUUUGAUAUCUAUAUACAGGUUUUACUGUACCAUGAUACUGUAUAUCAUUGAAACAUGUAUUACAAGACCCUGUUCAUAUAAAGACUAUCCUAUUAUAAAGACUACUUCUCUCUAUUGUUUGAUAUCUAUAUACAGGUUUUACUGUACCAUGAUACUAUGUAUAAUAUUAAUUUAUAUCAUUAGCAAUAUGAAUGACAUAUUACAUGUUUUAAGGUUUUAAUGAUUCAUGCAAUUAAAACCAUUAACUCUUCUAUUUGCAUUUAGAAUGCAUUAUAAGUAACUCACAAUAAUCUGACAGAAGUAGUCCUUUCUACUCAUUAAUCAACUUCUACAGUGAAAAUCAAAACAAGUCUACACUUAGAAAUAAUGCUGUAAAAUUUGUAAUAUUCUGAGGCUUUUUCCACAUUUAAACAUCAAUGUACAGAGCAAAUGACAAUAUAACUAUCAAACAAUUGUUCCACUUGAGUGAGCACGACUCGCUUUUGAAAAAUUGGUGAAAAAUUAUUUGCGCAGAUUUGGAAAUAGUUAUAUGAAUAAAACGUCGACUUCAAUCAUGAAAAACACACAUACUUUAGCUAGGAAGAUCGAUUUGGAGAUAUCUCUUACAUUUUUAGCUUGUUUCCUUGCCCAAAUACCUUCAUAGAGCGCCAUUACGUACCACUUCACAAUAAUCUGACAGAAGAAAUCAUUUCUUCUCAUUAAUCAACUUCUCAAUUAAAUGGGAUUUGGGCAUUUUUGAUACACCAAUUUGACAAAAGUCAAUAACUACAAAUUCUACUACAUGUAUGAACACAUAAUUAGUAAUACCACUGUGUCCAAAAUACAGGCGUACCACUUCACAAUAAUCUGACAGAAGUAAUCCUUUCUACUCAUUAAUCAACUUCUCAAUCAACUGGGAUUUGGGCAAUAACUAGUCAUUUGAUAUACAAAUUCUACUACAUGUAUGAACACAUAAUUAGUAAUACCACUGUGUCCAAAAUACAGGCGUACCAAUUUACAAUAAUCUGAAAGGAGCCAUCCUUUUACUCAAUUACCCUAAGACCAAACAGUUUAAAUUUUGAUUCAUAUUCAAGACGUAACAUAUUGGGGAUUUUCUGAAUCACAAAUUUGACAUAAGUCAAUAACUAGUCAUUUUGAUACACAACAUUUCAAAUUACCAUUAAAAUCCAACUAAACCAUACUGGCCUAUAAAGGAUGGAUGGAUACAAUAAAUUAUCUUACAUCUGAAGAAUGAGUAAUUCAUGAGAGAUGUGAUAAUAAAUGAACAUUUAAAGGCAUUUAACUUUCAAAGCAAAUGUCAUACAGGAAUGGAAAAAUAGUUCGAUAUAAACAGUAUAAAAUGCACCAAAUAAGAUUCCUGAAGUUAAUCAAAAAUUCAGCUGCCAUUUGUUUAUUAUAGACUAUAUUGUAUUCUAAACUUUACACCUCUAAUUUACAUUAUAUAUAAACAUGUAUCAUUUAUAACUCAAUACAUUAUUAAAAUUGGAAGACUUCACAUACACUGUGGACAUGAACUUGUAGCUUAAAAUAAUUCCACAUUGCUUUUUCUUACCAAAUAAUGUUGGCAUAAACUUUUAUAUCACUGGCGUAACGAGCGAAAAAUUUGAGGGUUAUAUACGAUAUGGCGUAUCGAUCAGGCAAAAUUUAAAAAAGUAUUUAGUAAGUUGCAACCGACAUGAGCUGAAUUUUGAUGUUUUAGACAUUUAGUUACAAAAAUCCAAUUGAACAAUUUCGCAAGAUUCUCUUUCCUUUUCCUCUUUUUUUUCUGAAUUGGGGGCAUGCAAGAACCCCCCCCCCCAUAAUUAAAAAGCACCACUCUUUGUUAUGCCACUGUCUAAAAUUGGAUUUAAACUUUUAGAAUUUUAAUCUCUUAUCUAAUUAAUCUACAGGAAUAAGAGUAAGACAAAAAAAUAGUUGCAGAUUACUUAUUUCAAAGUAUUAUUACUUAACUCCCCAACUCUGCUCUUGCUGCACUGCACGUAACGGCCUUCCACCAAAGGGCCAGGCCGACUCGCCCCGUGAGCAAGUGACCGCGUUCGCGUAAGUUCACCCGAAGCCAUGACUAAAUUCUGACCAUAAACAUCACCUAACUAAUCACUCUCUGACAAUAUUUUAAAGUGUAUUUUAUUACAGUCGAUCCUUUGGGCCAUCAAACGAUAAUAUUUCCAAUGUUAUCAUAACAAAUAAUUUUAAUGAGAUAGUGGCAUUGUAGAAAAAACAAAUUUAUAAUCACGAAAUGGCACCAGAUAUAUCAUCAAACACACAGCGCAGCGUUCGGGACUGGUGAGUGGGACGGCUCGCUUGGUGUUUUUGCCCCGACGAAUUCGGCGAAAACGUUACCAUUGCGCCGUGUGAACGUUCAAUCUGCGGCUCUCAAUCAGAGACUUGAAUGUCUCUUUUUGCAUUAUCGAAAAUGAAGACUUUGUUUGAUUUAUUUACAAGUAAGUUGCAUAUCCGUCGUGAUAAUUAGGAAAAUCCAUGAUGUCUUCUAAUUCUGUAAAAAUUACGUCUUUAAAAUGCCUGUGUCAGAAAAUUGCCGGAAAUCAUAAAAACUUGCCUAAAAUAUCUCUUUUUGAAAGUUCAUCGUUCAAAGUUCAUGGAAAAAAAUGUCAUAUCCAUCCUCGAUCACUGAAAUAAAGUGUUUGCUAAGCUUUUUUAAUUCAGACCAUGUUACCAUGACAUCUUGGGAAAACCCUUAAUUU